GGGGUGAAAGGCCAAUCAAACCGGGAGAUAGCUGGUUCUCCCCGAAAGCUAUUUAGGUAGCGCCUCGUGAAUUCAUCUCCGGGGGUAGAGCACUGUUUCGGCUAGGGGGCCAUCCCGGCUUACCAACCCGAUGCAAACUGCGAAUACCGGAGAAUGUUAUCACGGGAGACACACGGCGGGUGCUAACGUCCGUCGUGAAGAGGGAAACAACCCAGACCGCCAGCUAAGGUCCCAAAGUCAUGGUUAAGUGGGAAACGAUGUGGGAAGGCCCAGACAGCCAGGAUGUUGGCUUAGAAGCAGCCAUCAUUUAAAGANAACGAUGUGGGAAGGCCCAGACAGCCAGGAUGUUGGCUUAGAAGCAGCCAUCAUUUAAAGAAAGCGUAAUAGCUCACUGGUCGAGUCGGCCUGCGCGGAAGAUGUAACGGGGCUAAACCAUGCACCGAAGCUGCGGCAGCGACGCUUAUGCGUU
rnacentral:rRNA from 1 species